UGAAAGAGGAAAGAGAUAAAAAGAUUAAAAUUAUAAAAUUAAUGCGUAAUAUUACACGAAGUAGGAGAAGAUUGUAUUUUGGCUAGUUUAAAGUUUAAGAAUUUCAAAAUUUCGAAAAAUUAUCAUUAUAAGAGUUAUAGGAAUCUCAAAUUCUUAGCCCUGAGGAUGGAAUAAAAUAUUCCGAAAGCUUGGCAAGAGAAAAAAGAGUUUUUCUUUAUUAAACCUGGUCGAGACCCUUAGAAAAGCAACUUAAAAUAUAAA